AUUGAACGCUGGCGGCAUGCCUUACACAUGCAAGUCGAACGGUAACAGGUCUUCGGAUGCUGACGAGUGGCGAACGGGUGAGUAAUACAUCGGAACGUGCCCAGUCGUGGGGGAUAACUACGCGAAAGCGUAGCUAAUACCGCAUACGAUCUAUGGAUGAAAGCGGGGGAUCGCAAGACCUCGCGCGAUUGGAGCGGCCGAUGGCAGAUUAGGUAGUUGGUGGGGUAAAGGCUCACCAAGCCGACGAUCUGUAGCUGGUCUGAGAGGACGACCAGCCACACUGGGACUGAGACACGGCCCAGACUCCUACGGGAGGCAGCAGUGGGGAAUUUUGGACAAUGGGCGCAAGCCUGAUCCAGCAAUGCCGCGUGCAGGAUGAAGGCCUUCGGGUUGUAAACUGCUUUUGUACGGAACGAAAAGGCUUUUUCUAAUACAGAGAGCUCAUGACGGUACCGUAAGAAUAAGCACCGGCUAACUACGUGCCAGCAGCCGCCGUAACAC
rnacentral:rRNA from 1 species